rnacentral:rRNA from 1 species
UACGGGGGGGGCAAGCGUUGUUCGGAAUUACUGGGCGUAAAGGCUCGUAGGCGGCCAACUAAGUCAUACGUGAAAUCCCUCGGCUUAACCGGGGAACUGCGUCUGAUACUGGAUGGCUUGAGUUCGGGAGAGGGAUGCGGAAUUCCAGGUGUAGCGGUGAAAUGCGUAGAUAUCUGGAGGAACACCGGUGGCGAAGGCGGCAUCCUGGACCGAGUACUGACGCUGAGUGAGCGAAAGCCAGGGGAGCAAA